CGCGUGGCGGCAGGCUUACACAUGCAAGUCGAGCGGGGUGAUGGUGCUUGCACUAUCACUUAGCGGCGGACGGGUGAGUAAUGCUUAGGAAUCUGCCUAUUAGUGGGGGACAACAUCUCGAAAGGGAUGCUAAUACCGCAUACGUCCUACGGGAGAAAGCAGGGGAUCACUUGUGACCUUGCGCUAAUAGAUGAGCCUAAGUCGGAUUAGCUAGUUGGUGGGGUAAAGGCCUACCAAGGCGACGAUCUGUAGCGGGUCUGAGAGGAUGAUCCGCCACACUGGGACUGAGACACGGCCCAGACUCCUACGGGAGGCAGCAGUGGGGAAUAUUGGACAAUGGGGGGAACCCUGAUCCAGCCAUGCCGCGUGUGUGAAGAAGGCCUUAUGGUUGUAAAGCACUUUAAGCGAGGAGGAGGCUCUUUUGGUUAAUACCCAAGAUGAGUGGACGUUACUCGCAGAAUAAGCACCGGCUAACUCUGUGCCAGCAGCCGCGGUAAUACAGAGGGUGCAAGCGUUAAUCGGAUUUACUGGGCGUAAAGCGCGCGUAGGCGGCCAAUUAAGUCAAAUGUGAAAUCCCCGAGCUUAACUUGGGAAUUGCAUUCGAUACUGGUUGGCUAGAGUGUGGGAGAGGAUGGUAGAAUUCCAGGUGUAGCGGUGAAAUGCGUAGAGAUCUGGAGGAAUACCGAUGGCGAAGGCAGCCAUCUGGCCUAACACUGACGCUGAGGUGCGAAAGCAUGGGGAGCAAACAGGAUUAGAUACCCUGGUAGUCCAUGCCGUAAACGAUGUCUACUAGCCGUUGGGGCCUUUGAGGCUUUAGUGGCGCAGCUAACGCGAUAAGUAGACCGCCUGGGGAGUACGGUCGCAAGACUAAAACUCAAAUGAAUUGACGGGGGCCCGCACAAGCGGUGGAGCAUGUGUUUA
rnacentral:rRNA from 1 species